rnacentral:tRNA from 1 species
ACCUGGCUGGCUCAGUUGGUAGAGCAUGAGACUCAAUCCUGAUCUCAGGAUUGUGAGUUUAAGCCCCAUAUCUGGUG